rnacentral:rRNA from 1 species
GACGAACGCUGGCGGCGUGCUUAACACAUGCAAGUCGAACGGAAAGGCCCUGCUCUUGUGGGGUGCUCGAGUGGCGAACGGGUGAGUAACACGUGUGUAACAUGCCCUUGACUUUGUGAGAACAUCAGGAAACUGGGGCUAUUAUCGGGGAGGAGCUCUUGAUGCACGGUGGGGGUUGGUAAGUGUCGGUUGUAGGGGAUGGUCUCGCGGGUUAUCAGCUGGUUGGUGGGGUAGGGGCAUACCAAGGCUUUGACGGGUAGCCGGCCUGGGAGGGUGGCCGGCCUCCAGGGGCCUGCGGGACGGCGCAGAAUGCUACGGGAGGCAGCAGUGGGGAGCAUGGCGCAAUGGGCGGAAGCCUGUGGCAGCAGCGCCGCGUGCGGGAUGACGGCCUUCGGGUUGUAAACCGCUUUCGCCUGUAACGAAGCGUGGGUGACGGUAAUGGGUAAAGAAGCACCGGCUAACUACGUG